rnacentral:misc_RNA from 1 species
GAAUUGCCCUUGGUUUUAAAGUAACUUCAAUUUCACAUUUCAUUAAAUAUCUGUAUGAGGAUACUUGUUGAAGAGCUAAAGUGACCAAUCCACCAGCUGCAGUAAAGGAGAAAGCCUCAUUGGAUAAAUACCCUUCAUUGCUAGCUUCCUGACUGCAUUUCUACUUUAUUCUUGCUACAGAUUAUGUGACUUUUAGGAGACAAAACACUUUAUCAAUGUGUGUUUCAAAGA